UUCCUUCCAGUCAGCAUUAGGGAUUUAAACCCUAAACUGAACUUUUCCUUUCAGUCAGCAUUAGGGUUUUAAACCCUAGACUGAACAUUUUCCUUUAGUCAGCAUUAGGGUUUUAAACCCUAAACUGAACUUUUUCCUUUAAUCAGCCUUAGGGUUUUUAAACCCUAAACUGAACUUUUUCCAUUCAGCCAGCAUUAGGGUUUUAAACCCUAAACUGAGCUUUUCCAUGCAAUCAGCAUUAGGGUUUUAAACCCUAAACUGAAUUUUUCCUUUAGUCAACAUUAGGGUUUUAAACCCUAAACUGAACUUUUCCUUUUAGCCAGCAUUAGAGUUUUAAAACCUUAAACUGAGCUUUUCCAUGCAAUCAGCAUUAGGGUUUUAAACCCUAAACUGAAUUUUCCUUUAGUCAGCAUUAGGGUUUUAAACCCUAAACUGAACUUUUUUCCAUUCAGCCAGCAUUAGGGUUUUAAACCCUAAACUGAGCUUUUCCAUGCAAUCAGCAUUAGGGUUUUAAACCCUAAAUUGAACUUUUUCCUUUAAUCAGCCUUAGGGUUUUAAACCCUAAACUGAACUUUUUCCAUGCAUGUUAGCAUUAGAGUUUUAAACCAUAAACUGAAUUC
rnacentral:lncRNA from 1 species